CUCAGUACGGCGAGUGAAGCGGCAAAAGCUCAAAUUUGAAAUCCCCCGGGAAUUGUAAUUUGAAGAGAUUUGGGUCCGGCCGGCGGGGGUUAAGUCCACUGGAAAGUGGCGCCACAGAGGGUGACAGCCCCGUGAACCCCUUCAACGCCCUCAUCCCAGAUCUCCAAGAGUCGAGUUGUUUGGGAAUGCAGCUCUAAGUGGGUGGUAAAUUCCAUCUAAAGCUAAAUACCGGCGAGAGACCGAUAGCGAACAAGUACAGUGAUGGAAAGAUGAAAAGCACUUUGAAAAGAGAGUGAAAAAGUACGUGAAAUUGUUGAAAGGGAAGGGCUUGCAAGCAGACACUUAACUGGGCCAGCAUCGGGGCGGCGGGAAACAAAACCACCGGGGAAUGUACCUUUCGAGGAUUAUAACCCCGGUCUCUAUUUCCUUGUUGCCCCGAGGCCUGCAAUCUAAGGAUGCUGGCGUAAUGGUUGCAAGUCGC
rnacentral:rRNA from 1 species